rnacentral:lncRNA from 1 species
GGGAAGGUAAGUGAUUUAUUAUCUUCUUGCCUUUCUUGCAUGUGUACAAUAAAGCAAUUUAGAAAUUGGUCUGUACCCUGCCCAUUAAGCAAGAUUAUCUUUCCCCCUUAGUGGACCACCCGUUUGGAUGUUAAGUAUGUCUUUUUAAUCAUAGUUUUUUUAUUACACCGAAAUUAAAUGAGAAUAAGAAUAUGCCCUUUGGCAUAAUGAAAUCAAUUAUUUUUACAUUUCUCUAAUUUUAUGUAUUCUACUUAAAAGAGUAAGUUUAGUGAAUGGCCUAAUUUGGUUGACAUUUUUGUGGAUAUUCUAUGACAAUUUUUAAACCUUAUAUUUUUGAUUACACAAGUGUGAUGAACUGACCUCAUGCGCCUAAUAGCUGUGGUUAGUCCUGUGUGUCCUGCUUUUUCGAAAACAGGC